rnacentral:misc_RNA from 1 species
GAUGAAGAACGCAGCAAAAUGCGAUAAGUAAUGUGAAUUGCAGAAUUCAGUGAAUCAUCGAAUCUUUGAACGCACAUUGCGCCCGCCAGUAUUCUGGCGGGCAUGCCUGUUCGAGCGUCAUUUCAACCCUCAAGCACAGCUUGGUGUUGGGACUCGCGUUAAUUCGCGUUCCUCAAAUUGAUUGGCGGUCACGUCGAGCUUCCAUAGCGUAGUGGUAAAACCCUCGUUACUGGUAAUCGUCGCGGCCACGCCGUUAAACCCCAACUUCUGAAUGUUGACCUCGGAUCAGGUAGGAAUACCCGCUGAACUUAAGCAUAUCAAUAAGCGGAGGA